UUGAUCACCAAUAAAUCACCCCUUCCGUUUCUUUCUUUUCUUUCACGAGAACCCUCCUACUUACUGAUUUCUUUAUCGUCUCUCUCUCUCUCUCUCUCUCUCUCUCUGCGACACGUAAUUUACAGUGAACAAAGUCGCGACAUCAACGUCUGCAAAAACGAUCACUAGCUGCUGAACAUGCAAGGAAGCCAUCGGCACGGAUCUCUCAAUGCUUCUGGACCGCUAUCUUCCCCUGUUUAGGUCCUAAGGGCAUAACACUCCACCAACCUCCAGAUUCAUGUUGGGGAGCAGAUGCUUCAAAGGAAACUCCUAUAGCUAUUUGACGGCAUAUGGCCCUUUCCAAUUGCCUUGCAGCAGCAGCAGCAGCAGCAGCUUCCUUUUAGUCUCUCCACCUUUUGCCUUUUUGCGCUGCGCUCACUUCGUGCUGGUUGUGUUCCUCUUGGUUUUGAGUCCAUUGACGGCUCGAGUUUCUCUCUUCCAUUUGGUUGACAGUGGAUUUUCCCAUCUGCAGUUUAAAUUCUCAUUACUGUGAUGGGUCCUUUGUUAACAGUUCUGCGAAUAAAUUUGAUUCCAUUCAAAUGAUCAA